rnacentral:tRNA from 1 species
GGAACAUAGCUCAGCCGGUAGAGCGCCUGCCUGUUAAGCAGAUUGUCGCAGGUUCAAGUCCUGCUGUUCCC